UGAGGAAUAUUGGUCAAUGGGCGCAAGCCUGAACCAGCCAUCCCGCGUGCAGGAAGACGGCCCUAUGGGUUGUAAACUGCUUUUCCAGGGGGAGAAUUUUUCUGUCGUGACAGAAAUUACCGGUACCCUGGGAAUAGGAAUCGGCUAACUCCGUGCAAGCAGCCGCGGUAAUACGGAGGAUGCGAGCGUUAUCCGGAUUUAUUGGGUUUAAAGGGUGCGUAGGCGGAUAGAUAAGUCAGUGGUGAAAACCUGCAGCUUAACUGUAGACUUGCCGUUGAUACUGUCAGUCUUGAGUAUGGUCAAGGUAGGCGGAAUGUGUAAUGUAGCGGUGAAAUGCUUAGAUAUUACACAGAACACCGAUUGCGAAGGCAGCUUGCUGGGCCAUUACUGACGCUGAUGCACGAAAGCGUGGGGAUCGAACA
rnacentral:rRNA from 1 species